CCUACGGGGGGCAGCAGUGGGGAAUAUUGGACAAUGGGGGCAACCCUGAUCCAGCCAUGCCGCGUGUGUGAAGAAGGCCCUCGGGUUGUAAAGCACUUUCAGUGAGGAAGAACGCCUGGUGGUUAAUACCCAUCAGGAAAGACAUCACUCACAGAAGAAGCACCGGCUAACUCCGUGCCAGCAGCCGCGGUAAUACGGAGGGUGCGAGCGUUAAUCGGAAUUAUUGGGCGUAAAGCGCGCGUAGGUGGCUUGAUAAGCCGGUUGUGAAAGCCCCGGGCUCAACCUGGGAACGGCAUCCGGAACUGUCAAGCUAGAGUGCAGGAGAGGAAGGUAGAAUUCCCGGUGUAGCGGUGAAAUGCGUAGAGAUCGGGAGGAAUACCAGUGGCGAAGGCGGCCUUCUGGACUGACACUGACACUGAGGUGCGAAAGCGUGGGUAGCAAACAGGAUUAGAUACCCCAGUAGUC
rnacentral:rRNA from 1 species